rnacentral:lncRNA from 1 species
AGAGCGGGCAGCGCGCGCCUCCCCGACGGACGGCGAGCCGCGGGCGGAGCGCCGGAAGCUGGGCAAGGUUCCCGCCACGCUGGGAAAGGGACGUCUCCUUCGCGCGGAGGCCCGCCCGUUUUGGCCGCCAUGUUUGGGAAGGGCACAUCCCUGGGACCCCCGUCGCCGCCAUGUUUGAGAAGGGCGGCUGCCUUGCUGCAGGCCUGUGCUCUCGGGUCUCAGGCCACCUUCAGCUCGGGUUCCCCUUCACCCCGAGGGAGGCGUUAGACCGGCCUAGCUCUGCCAUCUGCCGGCACCUCACAGUCCACGUGUGAACUCUAUGGUGGGAAGAGAGAGGAGACUCUUGCUACGUAUCCUCUGACAAUUACUGACACUCCCGAGUUACUCCCCAUCUCAAUAAAUAUAAUAACAAAU